rnacentral:rRNA from 1 species
AACUUAUGCCGGUUGAAUCCCACCCGUGUCUAUAUACUCUUGUUGCUUUGGCAGGCCGUGGCCUCCACUGUGGGCUCUGCCUGCAUGUGCCUGCCAGAGGACCAAACUCUGAAUUUUAGUGAUGUCUGAGUACUAUAUAAUAGUUAAAACUUUCAACAACGGAUCUCUUGGUUCUGGCAUCGAUGAAGAACGCAGCGAAAUGCGAUAAGUAAUGUGAAUUGCAGAAUUCAGUGAAUCAUCGAAUCUUUGAACGCACAUUGCGCCCCUGUGGUAUUCCGCAGGGCAUGCCUGUUCGAG